rnacentral:lncRNA from 1 species
UCUGCAAAUAUCCAACUCUGCCAUUCGCACCAAAACUCUGGAAAGGCCCCGUUUUUUCGUCCAUUGGCUGCCAACUAACCGACAAUGACCAACCGACUGUAACCACAGGUAGGGCGUUUGUUUGCAACUCUGGAUUCAUCAGGUAUGUCUCAGCCAGCAGCAAUUCAAGUCAGCAUACACACGAAAGCCGCCAAGCAUCAACCCUUAAACCCAGGAUAAGUCCUAGAUCCCUAAAACCUUACAGUUUUGGCCUUCACUUGCUACAGUACCGUACUUAAUGCUGCAGUAGAAAGGGUGGUGCGGGUAUAGAUGGCUUGUAUAAUGUAGUAUUUGGGACAUAUCAGGGGAUCUGCAUCCACCGAUUGGUGCUUUCCUGAAGUCGUGGUAUAAUGCAUCUGCAGGACGCCCCUGCAUGUCGACAUGCCCAAACAUUGCGUGUAGCUCUCCUAGCUAGAUUGAUGCUCAGUACUAGUAUUUUCUCUAGCCAGAUGCAUGGCGGCAGGGUUACCUGCAUGCAUGUGUAUGUACCUAGACAGCAAUCUGUACUAUUAUGGUGGAAGGGCCCCCUAUAGCUGUGGCUAGUUUUCUCACGUAGCUAUAGGUCUGGGAGGCCAGGCACAUCAUGCUCAGGCGUACCAAGCCCAGGCAAGCGGGAGAGGAUGUUAAUAAACUGCCUCACUCGCGACCGGCACCACCAUAAUGGCCAUUGAUGUCCACUCCCAUGAGGCCCCCGGCUUUUACAGACGGCCCCACACUUGCGUGGAGCUUGUAGAAUGUAACCUGGUGAUCUCAACAUCGG